AGAGUUUGAUCCUGGCUCAGGAUGAACGCUAGCGGUAUGCCUAAGGUAUGCAAGUCGACCGUCCAAACUUCGGUUUGAGCACGGGGCGUACGGCUGAGUAACGCGUGAGAACCUACCUUUAACUCGAGGACAAUCCUGUGAAAACGGGGCUAAUACUCGAUAGUCCCUGACCGUAUGGUUAAGGGUAAAGCUUUAGUGGUUAAAGAAGGGCUCGCGUCCUAUCAGGUUGUUGGUGGGGUAAUAGCCUACCAAGCCUAUGACGGGUAGCUGGUCUGAGAGGAUGGUCAGCCAGACUGGGACUGAGACACGGCCCAGACUCCUACGGGAGGCAGCAAUUAGGAAUCUUGCGCAAUGGGGGAAACCCUGACGCAGCGAUACCGCGUGGUGGAUGAAUGCCUUCGGGUUGUAAACACCUUUUAUUGGGGAUCAAAGCUGAGAGUACCCAACGAAUAAGUGCCCGCUAACUAUGUGCCAGAAGCGUCGGUGAUACAUAGGGCACAAGCGUUAUCCGGAAUUACUGGGCGUAAAGAGAUGCGUAGGCGUUUACGUAAGUUACUUGUUAAAUCUUCUAGCUCAACUAGAAAAAUGCAAGUAAUACUGCAUAAAUGGAGAAAGGAAGAGGAGAGGGGAAUUCCUGGUGGAGCAGUGAAAUGCGUUGAUAUCAGGAAGAACACCAAGGGCGAAAGCACCUCUCUGGUCCUUUUCUGACGCUAAGGCUCGAAAGCGUGGGUAGCAAAACGGAUUAGAUACCCGUGUAGUCCACGCUGUAAACAAUCCUCGCUAGAUGUUCUUUUCAAAUUGUGAAGUUUAGCUUCGGUUAAAUUGCACGUUUGAGAGGGGUGUCGCAGCUAACGCGUUAAGCGAGGCGCCUGAGGUGUACGACCGCAAGGUUAAAACUCAAAGGAAUUGACGGGGACCCGCACAAGCGGUGGAGCGUGUGGUUUAAUUCGAUUGAAGCGAAGAACCUUAUCCAAGACUUGACAUGUAACUGCAUACUUUGGGAAACCAGAGUAGCCUUCGAGGGUGUUACACAGGUGCUGCAUGGCUGUCGUCAGCCCGUGUCGUGAGAUGUUGGGUUAAGUCCCACAACGAGCGCAACCCUUAUCCUUAGUUAUAAUUUCUAGGGAGACUGCCCUGCCAAAACGGGGAGGAAGGUGGGGACGACGUCUAGUCCGCAUAGCCCUUAUGUCUUGGGCUACACACGCGCUACAAUGGGAAGUACAACGGGUUGCCAAACCGCAAGGUGGAGCUAAUCCCUUAAAACUUCCCUCAGUUCGGAUUGUAGGCUGAAAUUCGCCUACAUGAAGUUGGAAUCGCUAGUAAUCGUGGAUCAGCAUGCCACGGUGAAUACGUUCUCGGGUCUUGUACACACCGCCUGUCACGUUAUGGAAGUCGAUAGUACCCGAAUACUGUACUUGUUACGGUAGAAGGUAAGAUCGGCGACUGUAAUGAAGUCAUAACAAGGUA
rnacentral:rRNA from 1 species